AGAAUCAACGCUGGCGGCGUGCCUAACACAUGCAAGUCGAACGCGAAAGGGGAGCAAUCCCUGAGUAGAGUGGCAAACGGGUGAGUAACACGUGGGUGACCUGCCUUCGAGUGGGGGAUAACGUUCCGAAAGGAACGCUAAUACCGCAUGACAUCCUGCUUUUGGAAAAGCGGAGAUCAAAGCUGGGGAUUCGCAAGAACCUAGCGCUUGAAGAGGGCCCGCGCCUGAUUAGCUAGUUGGUGAGGUAACGGCUCACCAAGGCUACGAUC
rnacentral:rRNA from 1 species